GCCGCUGUGGCGAAAUUGGCAGACGCAAGGGACUUAAAAUCCCUCGAUGGAAACAUCAUACCGGUUCGAUCCCGGUCAGCGGCACCA
rnacentral:tRNA from 2 species